CGUGUAGGCGGUUGGUCAAGUCUGGUGUGAAAGCCCGGGGCUUAGCUCCGGAAGUGCGCUGGAAACUAGCCGACUGGAGCGCGAUAGAGGAGGGUGGAAUUCCUGGUGUAGCGGUGAAAUGCGUAGAUAUCAGGAGGAACACCGGCGGCGAAGGCGGCCCUCUGGAUCGUUGCUGACGCUGAGACGCGGAAGCGUGGGGAGCAAACAGGAUUAGAUACCCUGGUAGUCCACGCUGUAAACUAUGGGUACUAGGUGUUCGGGGUGUUGACCCCCUGAGUGCCGACGCUAACGCAUUAAGUACCCCGCCUGGGGACUACGGCCGCAAGGCUAAA
rnacentral:rRNA from 1 species